CGGAAAAUAUCUCAUUAUUCAUAAGGGAGUCCUAUCUCAUAGUGCUAUCUGAUAUAUGUUUAUUUCAAAAUAAGUUCUAAUUCAUGUAGCAAAAUCCUUUUAGUGAAGUGUGGUUCUCAAUUCUUUAUUUGUUUACCGUUUUGACUACAAGGAAGAAAAAAAGAGUCAUUCAUUUACGGAAAGCUUACAAUACACGAAGAAGCUUUGUCAACAUUCCGUGACUAACUCAAUUAUUAGAGGCUUGAGAGUAGUUAUGUCAAUUACUUGAAGAAGCUUUGUAGUUUUUUUGUUAGAUAUUUUAAGAUGAUUUUGCCAUGCUGCCAUAUAAUUUAGCUCAGUGGCUUGAUUUGUGCUUUACUUGUGCUUGUCUUGGUUAGUAGAAUAACCAUGCUUUUUCAAGUUUCUCACAUAAUUUCUCAUCAAGAACAGCUCAAAAUCUCAUUCAAUCACCUCAAAUCUUGGUUAGUGCUUGUCUUGUUCCUAGUAAAUAUUGUGUUAGGUUUCUUUAUAUGGAGGAUGAGUGAGUGUGUGAAAUGUGCGUAACGUGUGUAUUGGCAGUUUAGUAGGGAACGAGAGAGAUCAGAAAAAAUGGGCAAUUUUGACGAAUGGUCUUUAAUUGGGAAUUUAUGGUUUUGGAACAAGUUAAGUACAUGGUGACUGGUGAGCAUCUAAUUGUUUUUAUGAACUAUUUCUUCUCCUCAGAUACAAUGGUCCGGCAGGCGUCAAUGACUUUAAAGUUGCUACUUCUUAUGUACUAUAAAAAUGGCAAGGGCCAUAAUUUCCGUAGGCAGGGUCAAAUGCUGACUUUGGUCGAAUACGCUUUGUUGUUAUACCGUGCAUUCUUGCCUGCUCCUGUUUGGUACCGAUUCUUUUUGAACAAAGAGUACGGAAGCAUGUUUUCUUCUUUGAUAACAGGGCUAUAUCUAACUUUCAAGCUUACAUCAGUAGUGGAGAAGGUUGGAUCCUUCUAUUCUGCAUUGAAGGCUUUAUCACGAAAAGAAAUGCAUUACGGAUCAUAUGCAACACCAGAACAGCUGCGAUAACAAAAAUAGAUAUAGACACACAUACAUACCUUAUGCUGUAUUUUUCACAGUUAAGAAUGUACUACAAAAAGGAGAAUAUUAUGAGUUAAUCGAGGAGUUCAUGUCUGCAGUCAAGCAGAACUAUGGUGAAAAAGUCCUUGUGCAGUUUUAGACGAUAUUCGAGAAGAAUGGGCAAUUUAUGUGUCGAAUUUCAUUUUUAGGUAGAAAAUAUUGUAGACCGCAUUUAACUAAUUAUCGGUAUCUAUUUGGACAUUUGGACAUGAAUCGUUAUGUAAUGAAUUGGUGACGCAUGGUUUUGAUAUAUAUGAAAUGCGUUAAUUUUGUAA